rnacentral:misc_RNA from 1 species
AUUCAACUCCCAGCUAGCAGUUCAGAAACAAGUGCUGCGCGCGGCGCGCGCGCGUACGUACCUGGAGGCGGCGAGCGGCGGCGAAGUAGCGGAGGUAGACGAAGUACGCGGCGGCGAGGCCGAUGGGGAGGCCGAGGCAGAAGCCGACGACACCGCCGACGAGGCCCAUCGUCUAUAUACCGCCGCCCUCCUCUGCCGCGAUCGCACGCGAAUGGCUACCCGGCCGGCCUCUCCUUCUCCUCCUCCUCGGAUGCGUCGAGGCGGCGGCGGCGGCGGCGGCGGGGGCAACGACUGGAGUAUAUGCUAUAGCAUAGCAGUAGUAGAAGCGACGAAUGAAGCAGCGGGUCGGAGGCGGCAACGGCAAGCGCGAGGCGGGGUGGCGUGGGGACGGGCGGAGUUUUUGUUGCUUUGGAUGGACGCUCCGUGCGUGCCGUGGAG